UCCCUGGUAGUCCAAUGGCUAAGACUCUGUGCUCCCAAUUCAAAGGGCCUGGGUUUGAUCCCUGGUCAGAGAA
rfam:Ovis aries breed Texel chromosome 8, whole genome shotgun sequence.